GUUUUUGCUGGCAGAGGCACUGCGGGCCAGUCCUUCGCUGUUUCCAGGGCGGCCCUGCAGGUCAGAUUUAAGCAUCCUACAGGCCGGAUCUAGCCCCGGGCCUUGAGUUUGACACCUGUUUUAGAAGAACCCUGCCCUUGCUUUGGAACACCACCCAGCUUGUUUGAGACUGACUGGCUGAGAAAUUCAUACUAGAAAUGAGAGCUGUUUACACAUUGUCCUCCAUUUUCGUGUAGUCCUCAACUUAUGACUGGUUGCUUAGACACUGAAGUUACAAUGGAUCCCUCAAAAGUUACUUACGACUGAAUUCUGAAGCUAUGACAGCAGCUUCUGUCGCACUUCCUGUUUUUGGAAAAAAGCAGCC